rnacentral:rRNA from 1 species
AUUGAACGCUGGCGGCAGACCUAACACAUGCAAGUCGAGCGGAUGAAGGGAGCUUGCUCCUGGAUUCAGCGGCGGACGGGUGAGUAAUGCCUAGGAAUCUGCCUGGUAGUGGGGGAUAACGUCCGGAAACGGGCGCUAAUACCGCAUACGUCCUGAGGGAGAAAGUGGGGGAUCUUCGGACCUCACGCUAUCAGAUGAGCCUAGAUCGGAUUAGCUAGUUGGUGGGUUAAAGGCCUACCAAGGCCACGAUCCGUAACUGGUCUGAGAGGAUGAUCAGUCAGACUGGGACGUAGACAUGGUCCAGACUCCUACGGGGGGCAACAGUGGGGAAUAUUGGACAAAGGGGGAAAGCCUGAUCCAGCCAGCCCGGGUGUGAGAAGAAGGUCAUCGGGUUGUAAAGCACUUUAAGUUGGGGAGAAGGGGAGUAAGUUAAAACCUUGCUGUUUUGACGUUACCAACAGAAUAAGCACCGGCUAACUUCGUG